UUGCUGCAUUCGCAUUGCUGCUACAUUCACAUUGCUGCUGCAUUGGCAUUGUUGCUGCAUUGGCAUUGUUGCUGCAUUGGCAUUGUUGCGACAUUGGCAUUGUUGCUGCAUUGGCACUUGUGCACCACCCAUGCUCCCGGUGCUGUUGAUACACUUGGGCUAGGCCCAUUCCAAACCCUUAUAAACAGUUUGCCUUUAGAGGCUGACUCCUUUGCCUGAUGACGACCGCUUGUGUUGCGAUCGAAACGUCGUGAUUUAUUUUAUUUCUAACUACGUGACUUUACCGAAAGAACCAAAGAGUGUGGAUUCCUGCAGUCACGAAAGCUUCAAAUAAAGAUUCACUAAUUGUCGGAUGGUGGCGGGUUUAACGACACAUUUAUAUUUACACAAUCUAACCCAACAAACCUUUAUUAUGGUAUAAGAGGGUUAGGGUUGUAAAGGGUUAUGGUUUUAGUGGUUUUGGGGUUUAGAGGGUGAGUGGUUAAGAGGAGCGGUCCUCAACCUUUUUGGUACCAGGGACUGGUUUCGUGGAAGACAAUUUUUUCACGGACUGGAGGGGGGGCGGGGGGUCACCAUUGGGUCUUUCUCCCUUUUCAAAGAAGCUCUGCAGCGAUGUUUGUUUUUUACUCAUUUUGGCUAGGGUUCGCUUGUGAGCUUACCAAAACUGCGCAGUGCGGGAAAGAGGCGCAGACGGAAGUGGGCGAGCCAUGUGCGGACAAAAACAAGUGUCGGAUUCUGACUUCUCAUAAGGAGUGUGCAACCUCGAUCCCUCGCAUGCGCAGUUUACAGUAGGGUUCGCGCUCCUAUGAUAAGCUAAUGCCGCCGCUGAUCUGACAGGAGGCGGAGCUCAGACAGUAAUGCGAGCGUUGAGCGGCUGUAAAUACAGAUGAAGCUUCGCUCGCUCGCCCACCGCUCACCUGCUGUGCUGCCCGGUUCUUAACAUGCCACAGACUGAUACCGGUCCGUGGCCCGGAGGUUGGGGACCUCUGGUUUAGAGGAUUGGAGUUUAGAUGGGAUUUAGAAGGUUGGGGAUUUAGCAUUUUAGAAGGUUAGAGUUUGAGGUUAGGGGUUUGGAUGGUUAGGUGUUUUAAGGGUUCGUGUUUUAGAUGGUGAGGGUUUUAGAUGGUAAGGGGGUUUAGAAAGUUAGGUAUUUAGAGGUGUCGAGGGUUUAUGGAUUUCGAUUGUUAGAGGUUUAGGAGUUUAGUCGUUUAUAAGGUUAUUGGUUUAUGAGUUUAGAUAUUUCGGGGUGUUUAGGGAAUUAGGGAUUUAGAAGGUUAUGGAUUUGAGGAUUUUCAAGGGUUAAGGGGUUAGAGGGCCAGGGAUGAGAGGGUUUAACACCUACACUUAAUAUUAUCUGUAAUAAAAGGUUUUUUUUUUGUUAGUCUCCAACACAGCGGUGUUCUAAAGUAGAAACAAAUUGUCAUUUUUUGGUCACGUGAUAAAAUGUACUAAUUGGCUGUCGGGUGGUGGUGGGUGUAAUGACGCAUUGACAUUUACAUGAACUUACCCCCAAAACCCGUUAUUAAGGGGAUUAGAGAGUUGAGAGUUUAAAGAGUUAGAUGUUGAGAGGGUUAGUAUUUUAGGGUAAUACGGGUUUAGAGAAGGUUAGGUGUUUCAGAGGGUUGGGGUUUUGAUGGUUUGGGAUUUAGGUUAGGGAUUGAGAGUUUUAGAAAGUUACGGUUUUGAGGAUGAGAGGGUUAAGGGUAGAGUUUUAUGGUUUAGAAGGUUAUGGGUUUAGAGGGUAAUAGGUUUAGAGGGUUAGGUGUUUCGAGGUUUAGCCGUGGUAAGAUAAAAAAAUUGUUUAGUUUCAUUUGUAUAUUUGUAAAUAAUUUGUUUACCUCUCCUGUCGUGUUUUGUAUUCUAUUUUUGUUGUUACAUUUUGACCCGCCUGACUGCUCAUCUGUGAAAAAGAUCUUUAUUGCUCGUUAGAUUCCUUCAGUACAAAAUAAAUACUCUUUUAUUUUUAUUC